UGGACUCACGAGACUUUCUUUAAGAGACUGCAAGCAACUUGAAAAAAUUCUACACCUUCCACCAAAUAUAGAAGAGGUAGAUGCUACAGGAUGCGGGUUAUUGAAACGCUUUCAUAAUAUAUCGACAGAAUCUUCAUUUGGUAUAACAGACUUAAAAUGGCUAACAUCGAUUAACUUAUCGGAGUGUAAUAAAAUGCAUGUGAAUGUAGGGAAUCGUGCACCAGAUCCAUUAUGGGUUCAGGAACACUUUCAGAUGAAAGAUUCAAGUAAGAUUAUAUAUCCAGGAAGUAGGAUUCCAGAGUGGUUCAAGUAUUGCAAGGAGACUACUUCAUAUACUAAUUCUAUUGAAAUUGAUAUUGAUCAUAAUGCAUCCAUGUGUUUUGGGCAUCAGAUCGUAGCAUUAGUUUUGUGUUUUGUUGUGGGACCUCUUCUACUGGGAUACGAAACUAUUACUAUCUCAAUAAACAGCCAGUCAAUGGUGUGGGACCAAUAUUGUGAUUUGUUGUGGCCUUCAAUGGACCCACAUCGUGUAUUUCUAAAAUACAUAGCUGGAAAUUCUAUUGAUGAGAUGAUGUCAAGAAGUUAUAGGGAGGGAUACAAUAUGAGGUUUACAUUUGCAAGUGGGUCAGAGGAAGCAAUCUUAAAAAGUGUCGGAGUCCAUCUAAUAUACGGGAAUGACAAUUUCAUUAAUCCUAUUCAACUUUCAAAGAGGUACCGAGAUGGUGGUGAGCAUGACUUGGAACCCGAUUGGAACCCACGACAGAAGAGGCAAUCUUCAACCACGAGAAUUAGGGAAUUCAAGGAUGCUAAUGAUGAUUUCAUUAGUGAAGAUUUACUUCCACUUGGGAAUUGAAGCUCAGAAAGGAAUCGAAGUUGCGGAAGGAAUCAAAGUUGGGAAAGAACUGUAACCAUAACAGACUUUAAUGAGACACAGCAUGCAGUCUUGGAGAGUCCGAUGGGCAGAGUUCACAAAAGGAUACCAAUAAGCAUGCAAUCUUGAAGUGGUGCUACUCAUCACUU